AGCAGCUAAACAUGCUCAGAUCAGUGUCUUGUGGCCAGCAGAGCAGGGGCUUGUGGGGCCAGCAGUAGCCUCCUGCCCAGAAGUCCUGCAUUUGUUCACAGCAGCAGCUCCUCUUAAGCUGCCUUGUGCUUCAGGGGAUCUGCCUGCUGAGGAUUUGCAGGACGUGGGCCUAAAAUAUUUUAUUUCAGGAAGUCAAGCAGUGGUUCCUGUCACCGAAACAGUUAAUCAGAAAGCACCAACUCUCUACUGCAACGUGUGUGUGCGUGCACAUGUUUUUGUUUUUUAGAGCCAGCAAGAUUUGCUUUGGUUUUUUUAAAGCAGAAAACACCAAAAAAGUUGGCUGUGGUUUCAGCUGCUAUCGCUCGAGAUUUGUACUGCUGACUACCAAUCCUAAAAGAGUUAACCUGGUAAGUAUGACUCAGAAGCAGAGAAGGAGAUGCGAGGCUGAGAGCCGGGGAGGAAGCGCAGAAACAGAGGUGAGGAACAGAAUAAUUGCCAAAAAAAGGUGCAGAGUCCAGGAGCGACGCUCCCUCCGGUCUGCCUGGCCCUGGCACCGCUGGCACGGGCUCCCUGGAAAGCUGCAGUUCCGCUCUUAUAACACAAGGAGCAGGCUGGAGAAUUUAGAGCUGCGUCACAGAGCUCAGCGAGAGAGUGAGAGAGCAAGCUCCGUCGAUAGGUCUACCAGCAACAGCCCUGCUGCAGCAAGAGGGGAGAGAGGCAGCAAGAGAGGCAGAGAGGGCUCCAGGAAGAGAAGUGGCACCAACACCACGGACUGGGCUCCUGCCACCAUCCACUGCCAUUUGCACCUCGUACUCGGGCUCGCUUGGCGUAGGAGGCUUCGCCCAUUGACGAUGCUGGAGACCCGGCGCGCUUAAUCCCACGGGGAGGGAGAGUGGGCAGACACCGAAAGGGUUAACGGGAAGGAAAUUUCUGGAACCUUCUCUUCUGCGGCGCUCCAGAGCGAGCGGAGGGCUGAGGACUGCGCAGAUGGUGCACGGGCACGGCUCUUCGGUCCGGUUCGUCUCCCUCACCGCCCAGCAAUGAAGAUGGCAGCUCUGCCUGGAAGUGCUGAGGACACAGCCAGCCUAGAGCUUGGUCCUUCUGGCCGAGGAAGUCUCCCGAUUAUGCAGUGGAGUGGUAACUUUGCUUUCUCAUACAAGAGGGACCAUUAUUCCAUAGCCUUUCACCAUUCUGAGGCUUGCCCAAGUUUCAGGAUGUGCUAGCAGGAGUGUUUAAUCUCUGUUACUCACUGGCUGACAUCUCCAGCGUCAGGGUCGGUUGUUUAGCAACAACCGCUGGGCUCAGGCACCGCACGGCCGCCGUCCCCAUCGCCUGGGCUGCAGCCUGGCCUCUGCAGGGUGCUCUGGGAGACAGGGAGAGAGGGAAGGGCUGGAUUCACACCCCGAACGGAAUUUCGGAGGUUUGGUCGCGGAGGCCGCAGGCGCUGCGGAUUUUUCGCGACGCCGUCCUUUGCGCAGGGCCGCCAUUUCCAACAGCAGUGCGCUGCAGGGAUGGGGAGGGAAGAACCCAACAGACUGUACGUGCCACUCCCCACUUUCUUUCCCUCCUUCCCAUCUCCAUCUUUCCUCCUUCCCUGCCAGAUUCCAUAGGGAAUUUCAGCCUCUUACUGCAGUCAUCACAACCCCUCCUGACUCACUGAGCCUUCGCUGGCUGUAGCUGGCUCCCUCGGAGCAUCCUUGUCUCCCGCAGCGCCGGAUCCGCAGAGCAGGGGAACAACAGGAACAGCAGUGACAACGGUGGUCCCUGCAGCCAGACAGACAGGCAUAAACACACACACACACAUGAGAACAGCCCCAGGCAGCUGUGGAGGGGGUUCUGUACGGCCAGGAGCUGGACUAAGGCACGAUGCUGAGUUGUGUGGAUGAUGGGUGUUUUUCCGAGUGUUGGUUGCAUGGACAACUCUUUGCUGUUUUCCCCAUCACGGUUGUGGGGUGGAAAAGCCCUGACUUUGUAAAGCUAGUGCUGUUUCAUGGCUUUCAAGGAGGUGCCACUGGCUGCUGAGUGUGUUCAGCGCAGGGAUGUAUUUGGUUUAAUUCCUUUUGCCACCAUGUUUUGGCCACAGCGAUGGUUUAACUGUGCCUGAACGCAGGGAGAGUAAGGAGACAGAUAAAAGAGGAGUUAUUUCAAUGUUAAACUCCAGCUGUAAAUCUCAUUACCCAGGAAUUGAGGUUACUGUCAGCAGGUAAAUCUGUGGGACUGGCAGGAAACAAGGCUAAGAAGGGGACAUGGCAUAUUUCUGUAGGACAGCAGUGAUUGUGUGCACAGGGGUGGCACUGUCAUCGUGAGCCGUACCUGGGUAACCGUUCCGUGAUCGUUUUCUGCACAGUGCCGCAAAAGGAUUGGGGAAAGCUGUGAUUUCGCCCUCCCUCUGACACUCGCGUGUGUGACACUGUCUGAGCUGAUUCAUUUUCCUGUAUCUGGGUUUCCCUGCUCUGGGGAGUGGGGUUUGCUCUGCCUCGGCCUUGGUGCGGCAUCGUGACGCAGCGUUCGGUACCACGCCGACAAAACACACGCAAUUUUCUCGGGCGUUCUGACCGCUCGGGGACCGUGGGAUUUGGGGAAGGAAGGGCAGGAUUUCACAUGCCCACGAUAGAAAUUUAAAAGCAUUACCUCUUCUUGUCUGCUAGCAAAGGAAGGCUCUGUGAGGGACGAGGCAGCCAUGAUCUCCUCCUGCUCUUGUUUUGCCGAUGGUCAUGUUACAUCUGUGACGCAGACGAAUUUUGCUGUUGGUUCCUGUCGGUGCUUUAGGGAGUGGAGCUGAUGGGGGCAGAAGCUUGAAUAUGGUUAGAAACAUUAAUUUCAUACUGAUGUUAGAGUUUGAACCACACCCAAAGGGUCAGGGGUAUCAGAUCCACCUAGUGACCCCCCAAAGGGUGAAGGAAUUCAGAUGAGCCCCAGCACCCCUGGCCAUUUUGCUGCUCACAGAGCAGGCUCGGAGCCUGCAGCUCUGCUGCUGCUGCUGUUCAUUUCCAUGUUAUACAAAUACAGCAUUGGGCUCUGUGUCAGGAGCUUUCUGAUGCUGUGAGAAGCUUAAAGUCUACAAGCAAAUGUUUUUCUUUUCUUAUUUGGGAACAUUCAUUAAAACGUCUGAAUGCCAAGUGUUCUACCCUCUCUCCUCUGACAAAUCUCUCCCAGACCUAUUGAGAAAAUUCAGUGCUGCUGCGUAGGAUUUUUAAAACUUUAUCAUGGUGUUUUCUUACAGUCUAAUAUGGGUAUGGCUGGGGGGAACAGUAAGAUUUAAUUUGGUUAAAUAUCUGUAAUGCUGACGUUAACGGACAAGGAUGUAGGCAAGAGCUGUCCAUGUCCUCUUUAUCUCUGUAUAUAGAUAAUCCCAAGCCCAGGCUGUGAGGAAAAAAGGGAAUACUCUAUCCCAUUCCCACCCACCCAAACAAUUUCGGUGCAAAGGCAGCGGUAGAAAAGGCCAAGCUGGAAUGUCACAAAAUGGUUCCACCAGCACUCAGAGAUGCCAGUGCCGUUUAUCCUGGCACGGCUCCGAGAGCGGCACCGUGAGCCGCCUGCUGCAAGGUCAUUCCCCUGACUCAUGGUCAGCAACCAGUUGGUUCAGGAACUCCCAAUCUACUUCUCUUGCAACUGUGCCCAUGCCUGAACCUGGAGGGGAAGCUUGAAAAUUAAUAUUACUGCAGCAGUGGGGGCACUGAGCCCAAAACUAUAGCUCCAAAAAAAUCCUGUGUCUCUGAAAGAUUUUAAAAUCCGUAUCUGUAAUUUGUUUCUUGCUAGCUCCAAAAACUUUCCACUAGUUCCCUCAUCCCCUUUUCCCCCAAAACUUCCUCUGGACUGCUGGGAACCAGGAGUGACACGUAUUUAAGGGCACACACUCUGUUCUAGGAAGAAAAUCUCUGUGUACAUUUGCAUUUCUGUGGCUAUCAGGUGGACUGUGCAGCCUCCCCAGAGCCUGUCAAGCCAGGGGUGUCUCUCAGGUGCUUUCAGUGUCAGAUACCUCAGCUCAGGAGCUGUUUUGUCCCCUCCCAGGUUUCCCCAUUUUUCCCUGGUCUUCCUAUUUGCCCAUCUCACUCGUGUUUUCAGUUGUCUCAGGACAACACCAGCCAUGGAUAUGCUCAGGGCUGGCUCUGGUUGUCUCAGCCUCCCAGGCAGCAGAGGAGUGGUUAAUGCCUCUGAGCAAAAGAACUUAUUUAGUGCCCAAAGUUCAACUUGGGGGCAGGUUCUGUGGACAGAGAGGGACAGGGGGAGCAGUGCAGGCCAAGCAGCCUCCUGUCCUCCAAGCCCCCAGCCUGACCCUGCUCACGAUGAGCCUUCACCUUCCCCAUGGUUAUUCCCUGGUUUCCAAAGGGACAGAACCUGGCUGCCAAUCCCGAUGCCAGUGACGGCUCCUCGCCUACAGGGAGGCAGAUGUGAUGGCUCGUCUGCUAAAAACUGAGCCAACACACUGUGAUUCAGCCCUCCAGCUUUCCAAGGAAGAGCUAUUUCUGAGUGGAGCUCAUCUCUUCAGCUCCCCCCACAAACACUCACUGCACUCAGGAGUCCAACAGCAGCCACUGUUGCAUUUGGGUAUCCAGCUCAGAUGUUUCUUAAACGCUGACAAUGGCUCUUGGAUAUUUCAGGGAUGGAAUGAUGGAAACCCUGGGAACAGGGACAGACCAGCAGCUCGUGUGCCUGGGGGAGUCAGCCAGGAGUGUUUGGUCAGUGCUUUUCUCCAGCUGUUUUGCCAGGUCCUUGUACUGCAGGUAGUGUUAAACUAAAGGCUUGUUUUCAGAUGUCUGGUUUAAAGGCAGGUUAUACUUCAGUGAACAUCUGGCUGGGUUUGUUUCCCUAUGCUCCUCCCUGGCACAGGACAUUCUUUUGUCUCUAGAAUGACACAAAAGAAUAAUAUGGCUCCCUUUGCCAUUACCUGGAGGAGCUGGAGCGGUGGUGUUGGGGGAACACCAUGUUCCUGAACUGACUGUACAAAUCACAACAAUCAUCUCCCUGUGAGAGCUUUCAAGCCCUGCAAUCAGUACUUUACAUUCUAAAGUGAUGCUUAGGUACAGGAGUUAGGAAUAGAAAAUGGCCUUUCUGGUUGCAGCUGCUUAGGUGGAUCAUUUGAUUGAGUGGAGUGAGUUUUGCAAUGUGCUGCUCACUCAGGCUGUGUAGGGCUAAAUUUGAUGACUUUUCUUUCCUACUGCCCUCCCCUGACCUCUAGCCAUGUAAGUGCAGUGCUCUUCUUGAGUUUGCCCAGUUUCUCCUCACUGUUCCCUGGGAAAUCUGGAAUCCUCCAUAGGAUCCAGGGGUUCAGCAGUUCCUGUGCCCUCCAGACAGGCUCAGGGUUUGCCCAGGGACUCUCCUGAGAGCAAAGCUGGGGGAGAACUGGAUGACUCCAGGCAAGUCAAAGCAAUUUCAGAUGAGCAGAGGGGAUCACAAGCUGGGGAACUACAGCACUAAUAUCUAAGCGCACCUCUAAUGGUCACCAUGCUAAAACAGACACUGCAGAGUGCUCUUACAGAUUCCUCUUGACAGGAAUUGAAAUCAGUGACUCAAACCAAGCAGGCCUGACUGUCCCAUUGCUCACAGUCAAAAGGGACACAAAGCUCCACAGGCUUUUACCCCCAUCCUGUCCCAGUGUUCAGCCUGCCUUGGGUUUUGGGGGGUUUCAGACACAGAGUGUCUGGCUUUUAACUCCAUUUUUUGUAAGGCUGCAAGAGAAGGACUGAAGGAAUAGGCUACGUUCAAUUCAGGAUUGUAAUGUGGAGUUUUUAUUGUGGUCUUAAUAAAGGAAAAAAAUAUCUCCCUUAUGCUUUAAA